AAGACUAUACUUUUAGGGAUCAUUUUUAUAGUUUGUUUCUAGAGAAAUGUGUUUCUGAAGUGUUCGGUCUCGCUAACCAUGAUGAGGAGUGAUAAUGUUUUCUUCUGAACGCGAAGCGGGUGGUGAAUGCUCUUUAAUUAGAGCUGUUCGCUAUCUUUGAUGAGCGUUCUGCUUUUCUUGUGAAAAGUUAGAGGAAGAAGACAUGUUCUGAGUGGUU
ensembl:snoRNA